GUUGUGCUUAUCUGUUUUAGAGCUGCUCUGGGCUGAAUGAGGGUAUUAAAAUGCUGCUACAGCCAUUAAAAUGGCCACACACGUUUAAGACAAGACAAACACCCCGAGCAACUUGGGAAUUUUUUUUUUCAUUUGUAAAUGCAGCUCUGCUUUUAGACUGGAUUUCAAGUAUUUUUCGAUCUGUUCCUAUGUGGAAAAUGGACAGACCUUUAUACUUCCUCACAUUAAUACACUUUAAGUCUGUACACAAAUCUUUGAAUACAAAACAGAUACAACUGGAGGAGAGAAGAAGUGGUAAUUGUGUUACACUUGACUGUGGAGGUCAUGUGGGAUUUUGACAUUUCUUAUUAAACUUGUUUACUACGAGCGCGACGGGUUAGUCACCACAUGUUAUGGGAUGCAGCUCUUAUGAGUAGGGUUGGGUCCCGAGAACCGGUUCCAAAUUAGAACUGGUUCCGAAUUUUCGGUUCCACGUGAAUCAUUAAGAAAUUUUAAUUUCGGUUCUGCUUUUCAAUUCCUAAAAGUUGUCCCUCGCCGCACACACUCGUUUCUGUUAAAAACGCAUGCGCAGCUGCGUCUACCUCCAGCUUCUCACGGCACGCCGUUCUGUUUGGACUGCACACGGAUAUUUUCUUUGUUGAUAACAAGAUACGAACCUGUAUAACGUAAGUUGUUCGCCAUCAUGGAGCGCAGCAGGCGCUCUAAAGUGUGGCUUCAUUUUGUCAAAACGGAUGACUGUUCGGCACAGUACAACACUUGUGACGAACGCAUUUUGUGCAAUGGAGGAUGCACCUCGAAUAUGGCAAAACCUCUUCGCCAGCAGCACGGUAUACAAAUCAAAGAAUGUACCGUGUUUGACAUGCUGUGCCGGCCUCCCUCCUCCUCACAAGCCUCGUCCUCCUCCGUCAGCCCGGCAGCCAACAGCCAGCACCUCCUCGCAGGAGCCCUCACAGUCGGGUAAGUUCAGUGAACUUUUAUUGAAGAUUUAAAUAACGUUUGUUUAGUUUCUAAAUUUAUUAAGCAACCGCGUCAAAUGUGUUUUUGUAGAUGAAAGCUCACAGUUGCAGAGUUUACGGCCUAACGUUACUGCUCAAGCUAACAAGCUGGUCCCACAACGUGAAACUCCCUUCACCUUAGCGGCUGGAAAGGUGACCGACACUGAACAGUUAACAGUGCAUGAUUGUGGAGAAGAUGGUGAGAGGAGCCAGGGCGACAAGGAAGGAGUGGAGAGUGAGGAAGAGGAGCAUCCACCUCCCUGCAAAACUGUGAGGAUGACUCCACUGGAGGAGCUUUUUGCUGACGAAGAUGCUGUAAAGAUGACAUCACUGCAGACCUCCACAUCCAUCCAGGACAGAGUUGAGAAGGAGUUACAGAUGUACAAGGAUAUGCCACCCAUCGUUACAUCUGAUGACCCUGCUGCUUGGUGGUGGAGCAUGCGAACGACAUAUCCUUGUUUGUCAGACAUGGCCUUUUCAUUUUUAUGUGUACAGGCCUCCUCUACACCAAGUGAACGAGUUUUCUCCACUGCGGGAAACACAAUCUGUGCUGAACGUUCACAUAUACUGCCUGAGAAGGCAGAUAUGCUUAUUUUUCUGAACAAAAACUGUUAAUGUGGGGAGUUUUUACACCUGCUUGUUCCACGCAGGCCUCCUUUACACCGGGUGAAUAAGUUUUCUUUAAUGCGGGAAACACAAUCUGCUGGACGUUCACAUAUACUGCCUGAGAAGGCUUGAGAUAUGCUUAUUUUCUUGAAGUGUUUCUGUUUUUUUUAUACCUGCUAGUUCCCUGCAGAUUGUGAAUGACUGAAUGUGAGUCAAUUUGUGGAAAGGUGUAUUAAAAAAAA